AUUGAACGCUGGCGGCAGGCUUAACACAUGCAAGUCGAGCGGGGGAAGGUAGCUUGCUACCGGACCUAGCGGCGGACGGGUGAGUAAUGCUUAGGAAUCUGCCUAUUAGUGGGGGACAACAUCUCGAAAGGGAUGCUAAUACCGCAUACGUCCUACGGGCGAAAGCAGGGGAUCUUCGGACCUUGCGCUAAUAGAUGAGCCUAAGUCGGAUUAGCUAGUUGGUGGGGUAAAGGCCUACCAAGGCGACGAUCUGUAGCGGGUCUGAGAGGAUGAUCCGCCACACUGGGACUGAGAAACGGCCCAGACUCCUACGGGAGGCAGCAGUUGGGAAUAUUGGACAAUGGGGGGAACCCUGAUCCAGCCAUGCCGCGUGUGUGAAGAAGGCCUUAUGGUUGUAAAGCACUUUAAGCGAGGAGGAGGCUACUCUAGUUAAUACCUAGGGAUAGUGGACGUUACUCGCAGAAUAAGCACCGGCUAACUCUGUGCCAGCCGCCGCGGUAA
rnacentral:rRNA from 1 species